GGACGAUUAACUCAGUUUGGUUAGAGUGGCGGUCUCCAAAACCGUUGGCAUAGGUUCAAAUCCUAUAUCGUCUGCCA
rnacentral:tRNA from 1 species